CCUACGGGGGGCAGCAGUGAGGAAUAUUGGUCAAUGGGCGUAAGCCUGAACCAGCCAAGUCGCGUGAGGGAUGAAGGUUCUAUGGAUCGUAAACCUCUUUUAUACGGGAAUAAAGUGCGGGACGUGUCCCGUUUUGUAUGUACCUUAUGAAUAAGGAUCGGCUAACUCCGUGCCAGCAGCCGCGGUAAUACGGAGGAUCCGAGCGUUAUCCGGAUUUAUUGGGUUUAAAGGGUGUGUAGGCGGCUGUUUAAGUCAGCGGUGAAAGUCUGUGGCUCAACCAGAGAAUUGCCUGUGAUACUGGGAGGCUAGAGUAUGGUUGAGGCAGGCGGAAUGCGUGGUGUAGCGGUGAAAUGCUUAGAGAUCACGCAGAACCCCGAUUGCGAAGGCAGCCUGCCAAGCCAUGACUGACGCUGAGGCACGAAAGCGUGGGGAUCAAACAGGAUUAGAUACCCUUGUAGUC
rnacentral:rRNA from 1 species